rnacentral:rRNA from 1 species
AUUGAACGCUGGCGGCAUGCUUUACACAUGCAAGUCGAACGGCAGCGCGGGCUUCGGCCUUGCGGCGAGUGGCGAACGGGUGAGUAAUGCAUCGGAACGUGCCCAGUAGUGGGGGAUAGCCCGGCGAAAGCCGGAUUAAUACCGCAUACGACCUGAGGGUGAAAGCGGGGGACCGAAAGGCCUCGCGCUAUUGGAGCAGCCUAUGUCGGAUUAGCUAGUUGGUGGGGUAAAGGCUUACCAAGGCGACGAUCCGUAGCUGGUCUGAGAGGACGACCAGCCACACUGGGACUGAGACACGGCCCAGACUCCUACGGGAGGCAGCAGUGGGGAAUUUUGGACAAUGGGGGCAACCCUGAUCCAGCCAUGCCGCGUGCGGGAAGAAGGCCUUCGGGUUGUAAACCGCUUUUGUUCGGGAAGAAAUCCUCUGGGCUAAUACCCCGGGGGGAUGACGGUACCGGAAGAAUAAGCACCGGCUAACUACGUG